AGGGGCGCAAGCUGAUGCAGCGACGCCGCGUGAGGGAUGACGGCCUUCGGGUUGUAAACCUCUUUCACCAGGGACGAAGCGUAAGUGACGGUACCUGGAGAAGAAGCACCGGCCAACUACGUGCCAGCAGCCGCGGUAAUACGUAGGGUGCGAGCGUUGUCCGGAAUUACUGGGCGUAAAGAGCUCGUAGGUGGUUUGUCGCGUUGUUCGUGAAAACUCACAGCUUAACUGUGGGCGUGCGGGCGAUACGGGCAGACUAGAGUACUGCAGGGGAGACUGGAAUUCCUGGUGUAGCGGUGGAAUGCGCAGAUAUCAGGAGGAACACCGGUGGCGAAGGCGGGUCUCUGGGCAGUAACUGACGCUGAGGAGCGAAAGCGUGGGGAGCGAACAGGAUUAGAUACCACGGGUAGUC
rnacentral:rRNA from 1 species